GAUGAACGCUGGCGGCGUGCCUAAUACAUGCAAGUCGAGCGAACGGACGAGAAGCUUGCUUCUCUGAUGUUAGCGGCGGACGGGUGAGUAACACGUGGAUAACCUACCUAUAAGACUGGGAUAACUUCGGGAAACCGGAGCUAAUACCGGAUAAUCUUUUGAACCGCAUGGUUCAAAAGUGAAAGACGGUCUUGCUGUCACUUAUAGAUGGAUCCGCGCUGCAUUAGCUAGUUGGUAAGGUAACGGCUUACCAAGGCAACGAUGCAUAGCCGACCUGUUAGGGUGGUCGCCGACACUGGAGCGUGGACGCCGUCCAUGCUCCUACGGGAGGCAGCAGUAGGGAAUCUUCCGCAGUGGGCGAGAGCCUGGCAGAGCAACGCCGCGUGAGAGAUGAAGAUCUUGGGAGCGCAAAACUCUGUUAUUAGGGAAGAACAUAUGUGUAAGUAACUGUGCACAGCUUGACGGUACCUAAUCAGAAAGCCACGGCUAACUACGUG
rnacentral:rRNA from 1 species